GACGAACGCUGGCGGCGUGCUUAACACAUGCAAGUCGAACGGAAAGGCCCUGCUUUUGUGGGGUGCUCGAGUGGCGAACGGGUGAGUAACACGUGAGUAACCUGCCCUUGACUUUGGGAUAACUUCAGGAAACUGGGGCUAAUACCGGAUAGGAGCUCCUGCUGCAUGGUGGGGGUUGGAAAGUUUCGGCGGUUGGGGAUGGACUCGCGGCUUAUCAGCUUGUUGGUGGGGUAGUGGCUUACCAAGGCUUUGACGGGUAGCCGGCCUGAGAGGGUGACCGGCCACAUUGGGACUGAGAUACGGCCCAGACUCCUACGGGAGGCAGCAGUGGGGAAUAUUGCACAAUGGGCGGAAGCCUGAUGCAGCAACGCCGCGUGCGGGAUGACGGCCUUCGGGUUGUAAACCGCUUUCGCCUGUGACGAAGCGUGAGUGACGGUAAUGGGUAAAGAAGCACCGGCUAACUACGUGCCAGCAGCCGCGGUGAUACGUAGGGUGCGAGCGUUGUCCGGAUUUAUUGGGCGUAAAGGGCUCGUAGGUGGUUGAUCGCGUCGGAAGUGUAAUCUUGGGGCUUAACCCUGAGCGUGCUUUCGAUACGGGUUGACUUGAGGAAGGUAGGGGAGAAUGGAAUUCCUGGUGGAGCGGUGGAAUGCGCAGAUAUCAGGAGGAACACCAGUGGCGAAGGGCGGUUCUCUGGGCCUUUCCUGACGCUGAGGAGCGAAAGCGUGGGGAGCGAACAGGCUUAGAUACCCUGGUAGUCCACGCUGUAAACGGUGGGUACUAGGUGUGGGGUCCAUUCCACGGGUUCCGUGCCGUAGCUAACGCUUUAAGUACCCCGCCUGGGGAGUACGGCCGCAAGGCUAAAACUCAAAGGAAUUGACGGGGCCCCGCACAAGCGGCGGAGCAUGCGGAUUAAUUCGAUGCAACGCGUAGAACCUUACCUGGGUUUGACAUGGAUCGGGAGCGCUCAGAGAUGGGUGUGCCUCUUUUGGGGUCGGUUCACAGGUGGUGCAUGGCUGUCGUCAGCUCGUGUCGUGAGAUGUUGGGUUAAGUCCCGCAACGAGCGCAACCCUUGUUCACUGUUGCCAGCACGUUAUGGUGGGGACUCAGUGGAGACCGCCGGGGUCAACUCGGAGGAAGGUGGGGAUGACGUCAAGUCAUCAUGCCCCUUAUGUCCAGGGCUUCACGCAUGCUACAAUGGCUGGUACAGAGGGUGGCGAGCCUGUGAGGGUGAGCGAAUCUCGGAAAGCCGGUCUCAGUUCGGAUUGGGGUCUGCAACUCGACCUCAUGAAGUCGGAGUCGCUAGUAAUCGCUGAUCAGCAACGCUGCGGUGAAUACGUUCCCGGG
rnacentral:rRNA from 1 species